rnacentral:tRNA from 1 species
GGAGAAACAGCUCAGUGGUAGAGCACAGGACUUCCAACCCUGAGGCCCAAACUUGAACCCUCAAUAUCACAUAUACCAAAGCUGAGUGAUACUUCCCUUCUUUUUUUUUUCA